GGGAACGAAAGAGCGACACAGUUGAAAGAGAGAGCGUCGAUGACCCAGGGGACGGGUGCCACUGUGUCUACGUGGGGAACCAUAAAGGGGCCGAGGCCGGCAGAAAGAAGGGCGGAAACAUCUGCGUCUGCCCCGAUGGAAAACCGAAAAAGAAUUCGGGAGGAAAACCAGGAAGUUCACAGAAGCGCGACAAGCAGUCUUUGACGGAGACGGACCGGCGGCGCAAAGCAUGAUCACUGAAUGGAGUCUGUUGACGGAUCUUCGCAGCACAGGGCGCUUGCAACGUCGCCGACAGAAGUUUAUCGACAGAAGUUUAUCGCCAGCAUGGUGUUUAUUUUUGAUAAGUGCGCAUCAAAUAAAUCUUCUCUGGUGCGCGCUGUCACCAGAUGCCACGGA